rnacentral:lncRNA from 1 species
AAUAUGAAGAAGCAUUUACAAGAAUAUGCGAGACAAACCCUGAGAUUUCCAAAACUGUAUAGAAAAAAAUCCAGAGACUGGGUCAAAACUAUUACUCAGCAACAAGAAAGACAGAAGCAGUAAUGAAAACCUAUUCCGGGGCUGUUAUACACGAAAACUUCAAGAACUUUAGAUACAUUAGAUCCUCAGAAGAAUAGUCUGAGAUUUUGAGUGUGAAUAGGCUUAAAGAAGUGUCGAGCCAUUGUGGAACCACUACAACCCCUGCCAUGAUUACAAUUCCCAGGGUAUGUGAUUGUACAACCAGCUGCCAAGUCAGGAACAGCCAAAAGAAGAGGCUCAAUUGGCAAGGAAAUGUAGUCUCCUGCCGACGGCCAUGGGAGUGAGUUUGGAAACCGACCCCCUAUCCCCAGUCAUCUCUUCAGCACAAAGACAGGUAACCCUCUCCAAUUACUAAUGAAAACAUCCUUCCUGAAUUCCCUUUUCACAAAGAAAAACAGCAGAUGUGAAUAACGUGAAGGUGAUCCUGGAAACUGAAGAUACGGAAUUUUUGACUGUCAUUUGGCUGCAACCCUUUAAUGACUCCUUAACCCAACCAUUCAGCAGUACUGAAGAAUUUUAAUGUAUUUUAUCUAUCUUCUGGAUAUGUAAAAGUGUUGUAUUGAUUGCAAAGUGUAGGUAUAAAAUAACAGAUUUUUAAAAUGUUAUUCACCAUUAAACUGUGAGCUCCGUGAACUUGUAUCACUCACUGGUUGUGAAUAAACAUGGCUAUGUGCCCAUAAGUACUAUGUCUUCCAUGCUAGCACAU